rnacentral:rRNA from 1 species
GUAAUAUAUCGGAACGUGCCCAAUCGUGGGGGAUAACGUAGAGAAAUUUACGCUAAUACCGCAUACGAUCUACGGAUGAAAGCGGGGGAUCUGCAAGGACCUCGCGCUCAUUGAGCGGCCGAUAUCUGAUUAGCUAGUUGGUAGGGUAAAAGCCUACCAAGGCAUCGAUCAGUAGCUGGUCUGAGAGGACGACCAGCCACACUGGGACUGAGACACGGCCCAGACUCCUACGGGAGGCAGCAGUGGGGAAUUUUGGACAAUGGGGGCAACCCUGAUCCAGCAAUGCCGCGUGAGUGAAGAAGGCCUUCGGGUUGUAAAGCUCUUUUGUCAGGGAAGAAACGGUGAUUUCUAAUAUAAGUCACUAAUGACGGUACCUGAAGAAUAAGCACCGGCUAACUACGUGCCAGCAGCCGCGGUAAUACGUAGGGUGCAAGCGUUAAUCGGAAUUACUGGGCGUAAAGCGUGCGCAGGCGGUUAUGUAAGACAGAUGUGAAAUGCCCGGGCUCAACCUGGGAACUGCAUUUGUGACUGCAUGGCUAGAGUGUGUCAGAGGGGGGUAGAAUUCCACGUGUAGCAGUGAAAUGCGUAGAGAUGUGGAGGAAUACCGAUGG